rnacentral:rRNA from 1 species
UACGUAGGGACCAAGCGUUGUUCGGAUUUACUGGGCGUAAAGGGCGCGUAGGCGGCGUGCCAAGUCACUUGUGAAAUCUCUGGGCUUAACCCAGAACGGCCAAGUGAAACUGUUGUGCUAGAGUGCAGAAGGGGCAAUCGGAAUUCUCGGUGUAGCGGUGAAAUGCGUAGAUAUGCGGAGGAACACCGAUGGCGAAGGCAAUCCCCUGGACCUGUACUGACGCUCAUGCACGAAAGCGUGGGGAGCAAACAGG